GACGAACGCUGGCGGCGUGCUUAACACAUGCAAGUCGAACGCUGAGGCUUGGUGCUUGCACUGGGUGGAUGAGUGGCGAACGGGUGAGUAAUACGUGAGUAACCUGCCCUUGACUCUGGGAUAAGCCUGGGAAACUGGGUCUAAUACUGGAUAUGACAUGCCACUGCAUGGUGGUGUGUGGAAAGGGUUUUACUGGUUUUGGAUGGGCUCACGGCCUAUCAGCUUGUUGGUGGGGUAAUGGCCUACCAAGGCGACGACGGGUAGCCGGCCUGAGAGGGUGACCGGCCACACUGGGACUGAGACACGGCCCAGACUCCUACGGGAGGCAGCAGUGGGGAAUAUUGCACAAUGGGCGGAAGCCUGAUGCAGCGACGCCGCGUGAGGGAUGACGGCCUUCGGGUUGUAAACCUCUUUCAGCACGGAAGAAGCGAGAGUGACGGUACGCGCAGAAGAAGCGCCGGCUAACUACGUG
rnacentral:rRNA from 1 species